rnacentral:rRNA from 1 species
AAAGUCUGACGGAGCAACGCCGCGUGAGUGAUGAAGGUUUUCGGAUCGUAAAACUCUGUUGUUAGGGAAGAACAAGUACCGUUCGAAUAGGGCGGUACCUUGACGGUACCUAACCAGAAAGCCACGGCUAACUACGUGCCAGCAGCCGCGGUAAUACGUAGGUGGCAAGCGUUGUCCGGAAUUAUUGGGCGUAAAGCGCGCGCAGGCGGUUUCUUAAGUCUGAUGUGAAAGCCCCCGGCUCAACCGGGGAGGGUCAUUGGAAACUGGGGAACUUGAGUGCAGAAGAGGAGAGUGGAAUUCCACGUGUAGCGGUGAAAUGCGUAGAGAUGUGGAGGAACACCAGUGGCGAAGGCGACUCUCUGGUCUGUAACUGACGCUGAGGCGCGAAAGCGUGGGGAGCGAACAGGAUUAGAUACCCUGGUAGUCCACGCCGUAAACGAUGAGUGCUAAGUGUUAGAGGGUUUCCGCCCUUUAGUGCUGCAGCAAACGCAUUAAGCACUCCGCCUGGGGAGUACGGUCGCAAGACUGAAACUCAAAGGAAUUGACGG